UCCGCGGCCUAUCAGCUAGUUGGCGGGGUAAAAGCCCACCAAGGACGACGGGUAGCUGGUCUUAGAGGACGACCAGCCACACUGGAACUGAGACACGGUCCACACCUACGGGUGGCAGCAGUCGAGAAUCUUUCACAAUGGGGGCAACCCUGAUGGAGCGGCCGCGUGGAGGAUAAGGUCUUCGGAUUGUAAACUCCUGUCAUGUGUGAACAAGGUUGAGAUUAAUAGUCUUGCAAAUUGAUGGUAACACAAGAGGAAGAGACGGCUAACUCUGUGAGCAGCCGCGGUAAUACAGAGGUCUCAAGCGUUGUUCGGAAUCACUGGGCGUAAAGGGCGUAGGUGGCGUGGAAAGUCAGAUGUGAAAGCCCGGGGCUCAACCUCGGAACAGCAUCAUACUACCAUGCUAGAGUACUGAAGAGGUGACUAGAAUUCUCGGUGUAGCAGUGAAAUGUAGAUAUCGAGAGGAAUACCAACGGCGAAGGCAGGUCACUGGGCAGUUACUGACACUGGCACGAAGGCCAGGGGAGCAAACGGGAUUAGAUACCCCGGUAGUCCUGGCAGUAAACUGCAUAUUUGGUGUGGGCGCAAUCGACCGCGUCCGCGCCGGAGCUAACGCGUAAAUAU
rnacentral:rRNA from 1 species